UACGUAGGGGGCAAGCGUUGUCCGGAAUCAUUGGGCGUAAAGAGCGUGUAGGCGGCCAGAAAAGUCCGCUGUGAAAACUCGAGGCUCAACUUCGAGCUGUCGGUGGAAACUUUCUGGCUAGAGUCCGGAAGAGGAGAAUGGAAUUCCUGGUGUAGCGGUGAAAUGCGCAGAUAUCAGGAAGAACACCCGUGGCGAAGGCGGUUCUCUGGGCCUUACCUGACGCUGAGGAGCGAAAGCAUGGGGAGCAAACAGG
rnacentral:rRNA from 1 species